rnacentral:rRNA from 1 species
UGACCUCAAAUCANGUAGGACUACCCGCUGAACUU